CGCGGAUAGUGAGGAGAUGUUUGCUGUAUGUGACAUCAAAUGUUCUAGCCUAAAACACGCAUGACAUCGCUUAGAACACUUUAAACAAUGUUUUUUUAU